GUUUAGCAAGGUUGGGUUUAGGAUACUAGAAAAAAUAGAAUUAUUGUAAUUGUUAACAUACUAAAGCAAAUGUGGAGACUCAAAACCCCAAUUAAAUUGUUACUUUUCCAAGGUAUAUUGAAACCCAGCUUCAGGGACGACUAAAUAAACAACAUGACAGGUUUCUCCAGGACAAAAGGCUUCUCUAACAGUCAUGGAACUUUUGUGGCACAGAAUGGGACAAAGCUUCACCAGCACUUGGGAGUUCGGCUGGGCUGUGUACAAAGUUCUAAUACCCAUGACUCACUGCAAGAGAAGAAUUUAUAAUUCUUUAGCAGGAAAGCAUUAUCCACACCAAACUUUUUGGGGUGGAUCAUGACCACAGCCUCACAAUCCCCCAAGAUGUAGAGACUCCAUAAAUUGGUAUCACUAUUACAGCGAUUGCAGUCCCAGGAAAAAGAAUCGCUGCAUCCUAUCCAGAAAGACGAGAGCAAGUCAGCACCAGAUACAAAGGAUCUACAAAUCUGUACUUAUAUUAAAUGCAAUAAUACUGAAUCGUGUGUGUGUUGGCAUUUCAAAAUGGGUGAAGGAAGAAGA